CGGGACGUGGCGCAGCUUGGCAGCGCGCUUGAAUGGGGUUCAAGAGGCCGCAGGUUCAAAUCCUGUCGUCCCGACCA
rnacentral:tRNA from 1 species